UUCCGGUUGAUCCUGCCGGAGGCUACCGCUAUUGGAGUUCGAUUAAGCCAUGCGAGUCGAGAGUCUUAGGGACUCGGCGUACCGCUCAGUAACACGUGGGUAACCUGCCCUAUGCUGGGGAAUAACCUCGGGAAACUGAGAAUAGUACCCCAUAGUUCACCACGCCUGGAACGGUGGGUGGAUGAAAGCUCCGGCGGCAUAGGAUGGGCCUGCGACGUAUCAGGUUGUAGGGGGUGUAACGUACCCUCUAGCCAUCAACGCGUACGGGUGUUGGGAGACAUAGCCCGGAGAUGGAUUCUGAGACACGAAUCCAGACCCUACGGGGUGCAGCAGGCGCGAAAACUUGGCAAUGCGAGCAAUCGUGACCAGGGAACUCCAAGUGGCUGGGGUAAUACCCAGUUUUUUCUUGACUCUUCAAAGGUCUUGGAAUAAGGGGUGGGUAAGGACGGUGCCAGCCGCCGCGGUAAUACCGGCGCCUCAAGUGGUAGUCGCUUUUAUUGGGCCUAAAACGUCCGUAGCCGGUCUGGUGCAUUCGUGGGUAAAUCAACCCGCUCAACGGGUUGAAUUCUGCGAGCACGGCCAGACUUGGGACCGGGAAAGGUGUGGGGUACUCUCAGGGUAGGGGUAAAAUCCUGUCAUCCUGAGAGGACCACCUGUUGCGAAGGCGCCACACUAGAACGGAUUCGACGGUCAGGGACGAAACCUAGGGGCACGAACCGGAUUAGAUACCCGGGUAGUCCUAGGUGUAAACGCUGUGGACUUGAUGUUGGGGGUGCUCCGAGCAC
rnacentral:rRNA from 1 species